ACUUUCUGACCCAACAGUCCCCCAGCGCCGGACGCGCCGCGCCCUGGCGGCUCUAGGGACCCCCCCCGCGCCUGCACUUAGCCCCGCGCCCGAGUCCACAGACAAACGAAUUUAAAGGAGCAACCGAGGAGGCACCUGCGAAAGAAAGCCCACACACAGGUGAAUUUAAAGGAGCAGCCCUGGUGUCACCUAUCAGUAAAAGACUAUUUGGAGUUUUCCUCGUCUUACUGGAUGUCACUCUCGUCCUUGCCGACCUAAUUUUCACUGACAGCAAACUUUAUAUUCCUUUGGAGUAUCGUUCUAUUUCUCUAGCUAUUGCCUUAUUUUUUCUCAUGGAUGUUCUUCUUCGAGUAUUUGUAGAAGGGCCUUUGAGGGGAGGGACUGCACCUGAGUACAGCACCCAGGCGUCUUCUGCAGCCCACAGAAGGUUCAGCUUAGGGCUGGACGCAGUGGCUCACACCUGUAAUCCAAGCACUUUGGGAGGCCGAGGCGGGCAGAUCAUCUGAUGUUGGGAGUUCGAGACCAGCCUGACCAACAUGGAGAAACUCCAUCUCUACUAAAAAUACAAAAUUAG
rnacentral:lncRNA from 1 species